rnacentral:rRNA from 1 species
CAGCAGCCGCGGUAAUACCGGCGGCCCGAGUGGCGGCCACUCUUAUUGGGCUUAAAGCGUCCGUAGCCGGGUUGGUUAGUCUCCCGGGAAAUCUGGCCGCUUAACGGUCAGAAUUCCGGGAGAUACUGCCAGCCUAGGGACCGGGAGAGGCCGAGGGUAUUCCCGGAGUAGGGGUGAAAUCCUAUAAUCCCGGGAGGACCACCUGUGGCGAAGGCGCUCGGCUGGAACGGGUCCGACGGUGAGGGACGAAGGCCAGGGGAGCAAACCGGAUUAGAUACCCGGGUAGUCCUGGCUGUAAACGAUGCGGACUUUGUGUCGGACAAGCUAUGAGCUUGUCUGGUGCCGGAGGGAAACCGUUAAGUCCGCCGCCUGGGGAGUACGGCCGCAAGGCUGAAACUUAAAGGAAUUGGCGGG